AGAUAGUAGAAAUACAAAAUUCUAAAAAUAACAGAAAAAGGCAGUUCUAAAAAUAGCCCAAUACAAAGUCGGAUGAUUCUGAGAAUAGGUGCCUAUAGCGCUAUAAUUGUGUCCUCCCCUCCUCUGCGUCAAUACAAUCGUCUAUGGCGACAGCUCCCCACUUUAACUUUCUGUACCCGGAUAUUAAUCGUCCAGGUAAACAGUUUGUGAUCGUCUGCUCAAAGCCAGAAGAUUUUGUAGUUGAUGAUGACAAGUAUGUCUUGAAGUUUUGUAAUGAUGUGUCUGAACCAGUGAGAAUCAAAGUAAGUAAAUGCUCGACUGUUUUCUUUACUGCUGUGAACGUCCACGUCUCAACACUUAACAUUCCACACUGUGGGCUUGUGAUUGAGAACGACUUUGAGGUGACUAUAAAUGGCAGUACUACUACAUACAAGGGAGGCUGCCUUAUACUUCACGCUGUGUAUAAGAAGAGUGAAUCAAGCCUCGGCCUCAGUACACAGAUUUUUGUGUGUAUGUGCUCAACUAAAGCAGCUGCUGUUAAUGAGCUGGCUACGUGUAUCAACAAUAACGCUGACUACUACACAGCAGACACAUCACCAGGUUUUGUCUCCUACACAUCUAGUUGCGAACUGGUUCGAGUGCUUCAAGCUGAAAUCGUCAAACCUUUCGAUACGUAUUGGAGGAGAAGGUUGGAGAAGUCUGAGAAGGCCGAGAUACCUAAGCUUGGGGACAAUGAGACUAACUGCGCUGUUUUUGCUGGACGCAUCUUCUACACCCUACUUCCCCCCUCCGAAGAUAAAAAUGACAUAGCAACCGCACGCACAUUUGAAGUGUUUCAGAGGCUCGGCUUUGAAGAGAGUAAAGUUACACCUUGCCUUUCAGCAAUAACCGAAUAAACUAUUUGCUAUUUAUAUGUACGUGCAUGUGUGUGUUAGCAUACUGAACUAUUAGUGUUAUGCCGGGACAGCUAUAUUAUAGCAUUAUAUCCCGUUGCUAUGUGCAAUAUAUAUGCACUGUAUCUCAUAUUCUGCACUGA